CUGGAACUUUUUCUUUUCCGUUUUCCAUUUUCAUCCAUUACUGGUUGAUCCUUCAGAACGUUUGAAGUCUUCUGGUCUUUUCCUGGUAAUUCACUAUUGCUGUCAAUAUCUGAAGAACUGCGACUCAUCAUAGCUACUUCUUUAAGAACAGCUGGCAUCUCAUCAGAGUCAGAACUAUUAUCUAAUAUAGCUGGCUUUUUUGAUUUACAAAGUUUAUUAGGCCUAGGACCAUCAACUGUACUGUCAGAAGAGUUUCUUUUAUCUUUUUUCCUUCUUGAUUGUUUUGAUGAUCUUCUCUUUCGUUUUUCAUUACUUGUGUCAUUGCUAUCUUCUUCUGAAUUUGAUGUUAAAGGAUUAACAUCUGUUUGGCGCCUCAGAGGUGUGGUCUUCACACGGGGUGAUCUCCUGAGAUCAGAUUCCUCUGCAAGUGAGAGAGUUUCAUUCUCCGUGGAACGUUCGCUAUCAGCAUUACUACUUUGGUUUACAGAAUCACAUUUUUCUGUUCUUUCAUCCUUGCUUCCCUUUUCUAGACUGCUGUCAUGAUCUUCAGAUUUAACUGGAGACUCCGAAAGGGACACAGGAGUCAAUUUCACAAUCAAUUCCUUGGUUCCUUUAGCUGAUGCUUUCAGUUUAGAUCCCUUAGUAUCUUUCAAAGGAGUGGUCAAUUUUAUAUUCGGAUUCUCGUGAUCUGUUCCAGUAUUUCCAUUCCCUUGCUCAUCCGCUGCAGUCUGAACUUCCAUAGCAGAUUCUAGAGUCUCAAAAAUAUCUUCAGGAACAGAUGAGGGAACAGACACUAUAUCCAUAUCUAAAGCCUCUGUACUAUUAGGUUCAUACUGAGGCUCCUCAUUUGUGCCAGACCUUUUAUCUUCACCACUUGUACGUCUGCUGUCUUUUUUUCCUACUGUCGAAACAUCUUGAUCCAUUGGCUCAUUGUCAGGCUGUUCUGAUACAACUUUUUUCUGCAUCUUUACAGUGUCAUCCCCUUUUGAUGCCACAUGUUCCUUUCCUUCAUCUUUCUUCACCUCAUUUUUUUCUGAUCUAACAUCAGUUUUUUUUUCUUUGGUAUUUUUCUCUUUGAUUUUAACAUCCAAAGCUUGAAUCUCCAGGUUCAGACCUUCUUCUAGUGCCAGAUGAGCUUUUUUGAUGUCACCCAGCACAGAUCUAAAAGCUUUUAGCUGACGAAGUUGCACGGCUGGGCUUACUUCUGAAUUUUCUGCAGCCUUUUUCAAAAAGCUCACAAAGCUGGAAUUCAUAUUUGCUGUAGUCUCAACCAGUUUUUUUGUUUUCUUAAGCAUGUCUUUUGGCACCAUUAGGGCUUUAUAAGAAUAUGUUAGUGAACCUGAAUAUGAAUCAUCUAGUUUUUUUUCUUCACCAUUACAGUUUGAAUUAUUUCUCUUUGGAGAAAAUUUGACUGUAUUGUCAUAUAUUUUACUUUUUUCACUUUCAACUUUGGUCUUUUUUUUGUUCUGUUGCAGUAACUGUUCUAAAUUUUCAAAAACACUGUCACAAGCAGUGACCAAGUCCAAUAGAGGCUCUGGAUGACAGCUGUAGCAAUGCCACUGGUUAUUUUCAUCCAGUAUAGUUGAUAGCUCCUUUCUACCCAGGUUGCGCAAAAUGCACUUUUUACAGAAGGCGUUAUGGCAAAAGUCACAGCAAAUCAGAUUUCCACCUUCAGCACACCACCUACACUGUUCAUCCAUUCCAUCUGAAUCACGGCUAAUGUCAUCGCUCAUGUAAUACUUGUAGCAUGUCUUACAAAUAAGAACUUUCAAUGUAGGAUGUCUAUAGAUUGAAUCCUUCUGAAAAUGGUUCACCUGUUGCCCACAAGCUGUACAGCUUACAAUUCCAUGUAGUCCUUCCUCUUUUUGAACGUGACGAUCCUAAGAAUGUGACUCUUUCUGAAGAAC
rnacentral:lncRNA from 1 species